rnacentral:rRNA from 1 species
CAGCGCCACAAGUGGGGACCAGUAUUAUUGGGCCUAAAGCGUCCGUAGCCGGAUACGUAAAUCCUUUGUGAAAUUGUUGGGCUUAACCUAACAGCGUGCAGAGGAGACUGCGAAUCUUGAGACCGGGAGGAGUCAGAGGUAUGCAUGGGGUAGUGGUAAAAUGCAAUAAUCCCUUGUAGACCACCUGUGGCGUAGGCGUCUGACUAGAACGGGUCUGACGGUGAGGGACGAAAGCUGGGGGAGCGAUCCGGAUUAGAUACCCGAGUAGUCC